AACGUAGGAGACAAACGUUAUCCGGAGUUACUGGGCGUAAAGGGCGUGCAGGUGGUCUGUUAAGUCUGGCGUGAAAGCUCUCGGCUAAACCGGGAGAGGUCGUUGGAUACUGGCGGACUAGAGGACGGUAGAGGCGUGUGGAAUUCCGGGUGUAGUGGUGAAAUGCGUAGAUAUCUGGAGGAACACCGGUGGCGAAGGCGGCAUCCUGGACCGGUAUUGACGCUCAGGCACGAAAGCGUGGGGAGCAAACAGG
rnacentral:rRNA from 1 species